CAAGAGCAACCCGAGGUGGAGGAGGCCAGAAAGCAUAACCACAAGGCAUCUGUGGAGGUGCAGACUCUCAAGGAAAACCUGAAGAAGGCAGAAGCCGACCUUGCCAAGAGAGGGGAGAAGACAGACCCAGAGAAGAUGAGGCCCGACAGUCGGAAUGAGAGUGCAGAGAUCAGUAGACUUGAGGAUGAAAUUCGAAGGCUGAACAAGGCUUUGCAGGAUGCUGAAAACAGAGCACGACAGGAGCGUCCAAGGACCCGUAUUACAUAUGCACCAAGCUCCGACUCCGACCGAGCCUCGUCCCUCAACUCGGAGGAGAGCGCUUGUAUGAUGAACUCCAGCGUGAACUGAUGGAGCUGACUGAU